CCGACCUGAAUGAAGACGAGCUAGGCAGUCCUCCGCUGUUGCUAACUAAACUGCGGAACUACAGCGGCGGUACAGUCCGUUGCUCGUCGUUUGUAGCUGGAAGUUGAUACACAGCGUUCACACGAAGGCCUCUCUUAUCCAUCACUACUCUGAGUAGCUUAUCCACUGCAGCUAAGAUAGCUAACGAGAACCGUCACAAGUUUGUAGUUAAGUUAAUGUUGGCUAGUUGCGUCGUUUGACAGCUAACGCUAACAAGCUAGUCUAAUUGGUAUUCGACGUCAGUUUCAAAACAAAGCCCGCAAAACCGUGAAGUUGAGACUCAGCUGUCACCUCCAGAAAAGCCUGCUGCAAGACAAGCUAGCUAGGUUUAAGUUUGUCAGCCCACCGAAGAUAAAUUGCGCUAUUCAGCUGCUGUUUAAAACACUCAGUUAAUGCCCAAUCAACGUUAUUUCGCUGACGGUAAGGCCAAUAUAAAGAAGCUGUCAGCAGGUUUGGCUUUGACGCGUUUGAACUUAUAACUAAUCCAGCGUUCAGCUAAGUGCUUCUGCCGAUAUAAUCAGGUUCAGGAUUUCUUUGAAGCUUGGAUUUAAAUGUCCGAAAAGAGUUCAUCGUCCGGUUCGGAUGAGGAUGUGGACCCGGAAUCCGGGCAGCCUGUGGAGUUCGGAGGCGUUUUAAGCAAGUGGACAAAUUACAUACACGGAUGGCAGGACCGAUGGGUCGUGUUGAAAAACAAUACUUUGAGCUACUACAAGUCGGAGGAUGAACGGGAGUACGGCUGCAGGGGGUCUCUGUGCCUCAGCAAGGCUGUCAUCACACCUCAUGAGUUUGACGAGUGUCGUUUUGACAUCAGCGUGAACGACAGCGUUUGGUACCUCAGAGCUGAAGAUCCCGAGCAUAGACUCCAGUGGAUAGAGUCAAUAGAGCUGCACAAGGCCGAGUCUGGUUAUGGUUCAGAAACCAGUCUCAGGCGUCAUGGUUCCAUGUUGUCUCUCACCUCAGCAGCCAGUGCCUUGUCUGCUACAUCCACAUCCUCCUUCAAGAAGGGGCACAGGUUGCGUGAGAAGCUAGCAGAAAUGGAGACCUUCCGGGACAUUCUGUGCAGACAAGUGGACACACUGCAGAAAUACUUUGACUCCUGUGCUGAUGCUGUCUCCAAAGAUGAAUUUCAGAGAGACGGAGUAGAGGAGUACGAAGAUGACUUUCUAACCACAGCAAGACCCGACGGUGAAUAUAAUCACAACAACAAUGGCAGCAAAGAGAAAUUGUUUCCACCUGCCAGUCCCAAAGGUAUGAACGGGAUAGACUUCAAGGGUGAGGCCAUCACCUUUAAGGCCACCACAGCAGGCAUCCUGUCUACCUUGUCCCACUGCAUCGAACUGAUGGUCAAACGAGAGGACAGCUGGCAGAAGAGACUGGAUAAGGAGCUAGAGAAGAGGAGGAGGAUUGAAGAUGCCUACAAGUCUGCUAUAAGUGAACUGAAGAAAAAGUCACACUACGGAGGGCCAGACUACGAGGAGGGGCCCAACAGUCUGAUCAAUGAGGACGAGUUCUUUGAUGCGGUGGAAGCUGCACUGGACAGACAGGACAAGAUAGAGGAGCAGUGCCAGUCAGAGAAGGUCAGGAUACCUCGACUUACUCUGGUUCCUCCUGGAGACGCCUACUCCAUCAUCGGUACACACCGAUUUGCCACCAAGCCCCAUAGCCAUUCUUCUUCCCUGUCCUCGGUUGAGCUAGUCAGUGCUUCAGAUGACAUUCACAGAUUCAGCAUUCAGGUGGAGGAGAUGGUGCAGAAUCAUAUGACUUACUCUCUUCAGGAUGUGGGCGGAGAUGCCAACUGGCAGCUGGUAAUAGAAGAAGGAGAGAUGAAGGUGUACAGGAGAGAAGUAGAGGAGAAUGGUAUUGUGCUGGAUCCUCUGAAAGCUACACAUUCUGUGAAAGGGGUGACAGGACACGAGGUCUGCCACUACUUCUGGGAUACAGCUGUCCGAUUGGACUGGGAGACCACCAUUGAAAAUUUCAACGUUGUGGAAACACUGUCUGAUAAUGCCGUCAUUGUUUACCAGACGCACAAGAGAGUGUGGCCUGCCUCUCAAAGGGACGUGCUCUAUCUGUCAGCCAUCAGGAAGAUCUUGGCAACAAACGAAAAUGACCCUGACACAUGGCUGGUCUGCAACUUCUCUGUGGACCAUGACAAUGCCCUUCCCACAAACAGGUGUGUUCGUGCCAAAAUCAACGUCGCUAUGAUCUGCCAAACACUGGUCAGCCCACCAGAGGGUGAUAAAGAGAUCAGCAGAGACAACAUCCUUUGCAAGAUCACCUACGUUGCCAAUGUAAACCCAGGAGGAUGGGCUCCAGCCUCAGUCCUCAGGGCCGUCGCCAAGAGAGAGUAUCCCAAGUUCCUCAAACGCUUCACCUCCUAUGUCCAGGAGAAGACAUCUGGGAAGCCCAUCCUCUUCUGAACACAAAGAGGUAACCAGGAACCGGAAAACAUCUUGUUUUACAACUGAGAAAGCAACUAAACUGAUGGGCUUGCGGAGGGCCGAGGUUGACCUCUGAAAGACUACAUUGUUCCAUGUUUAACAACCCCUCGACGACUACAUGACCCAUUUGCCUGUCAACUAGAAUGUGUUUUCAGACUUACUACAUGCUGGACACCAUAUCAUCCAGGAUGUCCCACAGGACACCUGCUUGUAGAAGAGACUGGUUUUACUGCUUUAAUCCAUCAGUAGUUGUCAUCCCAGCCACAUUAUAAUGGCAUGAAACCAUCUGUUGGUCAUUUGUAUGUAAAUUCAAGAGUUUCGUAAGUGUUUUUUGAAUUGUUGUCACCAAUUAUUAGCUUUUUUUGUAAAUUGUUUUGUACAUUUCUUAUGAUUCCAUACUUGACUUUUUUGGGUUUGCUUUAAUCACUAGUAUUACAGCUACUUGUUAUGCUGCUGCUAAAUUAACUACCAUGGGAGAGGAAAGUAGACAUUGACAGGAAAAGCACUGACGAGGUGUGGUACAGUAUCUCCUCUUUCUUGCCUUCUCCUGUCCCUCUAGUGAUGACUCUGCAGUUUGAUGGGGGGUCAGAACCUAAGUUUUGAAAUCUUUAUAUUUCUAGAUUGUUAAUAAAGUAGCUUUCGGAGAGCACCAUGGACACAGUGUAUUGUACAGAGAAACCAAUGUGAGAAAUGUGAAUUGACUGUUAUAACGCUUGAAUUUGAUUACCGAAAUGGGCCAAGGAAACCUGCAGUGGGAGAUGAAGAGCAUUUAACUAAUUGUCUUAUGUUGGACAAUAUUUUUGACACAGUUGAAGUCAUAAUCAAUAAUUGGAUUUCUAUGAUGUAGUUGACUUUGGUCUGUUGAUGCUAAGUCUCGGUCUAUUGGCUCUGUAUAUCUGUCUUUAACCUCUGUGUAAGACAGAUCUUUGCAAAUGGCCAGCCAUAGUGUCUGACAUAAAGAAUCCUCUCUUUCAGUGAGAGAUGAGUGGAUACAUUUUGUACACGCUUGGUUGUUUUUCACCAUUUUCAGCCCCUAAUGAGGCAGCGUCACAAGUGUCAGGUUUGUAAAUUAGUCCUGCUGCUAUUGUGCAGGUACAAUUGUAAAAUGUUUAGUAAGAUAUCAUUUCCACCCUAUGCUCUGUCAUACUCUAACAUUACAUUUCAUAUGCCACACUACAGUGCAGUGGCCUACUGCCCUUUUGACUGAUUAACUACCCCCAGAAUGCCUUAGACACCAGGACGAACUCUAAAAAUCCCGGUUAUCUCUAUUGUACAGCCACCAGAUGUGCAUUUAUUAACCCUGAAAUGAAGUGGGCGGGCUGGGGAGUGUCAGCAUUUCACAUCACCUUACCUCAAGAUUUAAAUUUACUCUAGAUUGUGUUUAACACCAUCAAAAGUUGGGAGUUUGUGUCUGUGAUGGUGGAAAAUUCACCAUCAGAUUUUUGGUCUAAGGGGGUCCGAGGAUAGGAAGGAUCUGGAUUAUUGUUUUGCUGAUGAUUACAAGAGCUAGAUCUACAAGCAAUGUCAGCUGAAUAAUUCAUUUAGUGUUUUUAAUUUUGAUAUUUUGACAGUAAUCUACACACUUUGUAUAUUUCUAAGUUGUACAUCAGAAGUGUUAUUAUUUGCACUAAAUGUAAUGCAAUUUGACAAUGUUAUGUAAAUUAAAAUUGUUACACAACAGAAA